GUCUCCUCGUUUUUCCAAACAGAUUUUUGACGAAGAAAAAAGAGGGUUGGUAAAUCCCUCCCGCUCCGAGUUUUUUUUUAAGUCUUUCUGCCAGCUGACAAACGCUGAAAACAUUAACUCGAAGAAAUGGAUGAUGAACCUGAAAGAACCAAACGGUGGGAAGGGGGUUAUGAAAGAACAUGGGAAGUUCUUAAAGAAGAUGAAUCUGGAUCAUUAAAAGCGAGUAUAGAAGAUAUUCUCUUCAAGGCCAAGAGAAAAAGGUAAGCGUUUAUUGAGUGUCGUGUAGAGUACAUUAUAUUGAUAUAAUUUUAUAAGAAAUGGGUAAAUUUAAAGGUAAUUAAUUCAAUUCCAUUUGGAUGUGGAUAUUCAGCUUUCCCUUGUUUGAAGUUAUAUUCAGUCAGAUAAAUGAAAUAUAGCACUGUUCUUAUCCUUAGUGCUUUAUUUUAAAAUUCCAAAAUAUGCCCUAGUAAUAUUUGUUUAUUUAUUUAAAUAUUUUACUUCAUUGUUCAGCUGAAAACGCUGAGAGUGAUUUUAAAAUUAAGCAGGUACAAUAUUUAAUGCUAAUAUUAAAUAAGUAGUAAGUCACAUGUCAAAAAGGAAAAAGAGAUUUGGACUGAGAAGGUAAAAAUGGAAUUCAAGCAAACUUUAUAGAUAGCAUAAUCAUAUAACAACCAGUUAAAAUGACAUGUUAAUAUUAGUUAACAAAUAUUUGUGAUUUGUUUAACAAUUGUGACUCAAAUGUCAGUUGAAUGUGAUAGGAUUUAUAUCUCAGUAAACACAAAACUAUAGAUGUAAUGUGAUGUUCUUAAAAUAAGAUAGAUAAAAUAACUUUUAUUGUCAUUUUUGUGUGAGCACACUGGCAUAUUAAAGAUAAAAUGCUCUCAA